AAGUACUUCAACGGCUGCACCUCGAGCGUUCAAGGCAGCACCCUCGUCGCAGCAGCAGAGACGCGCAGGCUCGUGCUCGGGUUCGCCGGCGCUCCGGGCACCUGCUGACGCAAGCAGAAUAAAUCUAGUUUUCGUUUGGGCCUCCCGUCCCCUCUCUAGGCUUCGCUCUGUCCAAGGCCCCACAGCGCGAGCCUGGCUGUCUCUGUUGCUUCGACGAUGGCACUGCCAUGACCGAGGUGCAGCCGCUACAGUACCUUCGGUCGCGCACUACCACCGCGGCGAGGAGAAGACGGCCCGACGAAGAAAUACUGAAGUUCUAGCUAACCGGCGCCAUAGUUAGGGGUCAAACGCAAACAAGCGGCGGCGAAUGAACGGUGCCUCGCCGCCUUCCACGUAUAACCGUUCACCAAGGAGGGGCAAGACGCCGGGCAGUUCGCUGCACUGAAGCAGAAAAGACCAAUCGCUUUGGAAUACGGACGAGAAGAAUCCAUGGAAGCAGCGCAUCGUGCGUCAAGAACAAGUCAUGAACAGUGCUGACGCCCCAGCUCUCCCGAUGGCUGGCGGAAACCUCGUAACCCUAGAUUAUGCGACUGCGCGCUGUGACUGGAGAACACUGGACAACAAAAUAAAGUGAAACACGAGGAGAACGUUCAGCGGUGGCUCGAACAACAAACGGGUCCAAAAACAAGAGAGAGAAAGAAAGACCGAGCAAUUGCUU